UAAUGUGAAGUUUUGGUGCUGCAAGGAUGCAUUGAAUGAGAAGGCAAUAAAUAGGCGGGCCUGGAGUUAGCUGAGUGGUUGAUACAGCAACUUUUUAGACUGGAUUGUUCCCACCUAUAUAAUCUUACCAUUUAAAUUAUUGUACUUCUAGAGUUACGUAUAUAUUUGAAAUUCACUCCUGUCCUUCAGUUUUAUUUGUUUACUAUAUUAAAAAUAAAUAGAUAAUUUUUUUUUCUUAUUUUAUCAUUAACAUUAAUUACUCAUUCCAACUCAUUUUUCAAGUCUAUUGAAAUUAUAUACCAAUUAAUAUGUUCAUUUAUUAAUUCUUAAGGAGCGUGCAAAAUCAAAUGCGAACAAGUAAAAAUAAAUAAGUAAUAAUAUUCAUUAAUUUUUACUACGUCCGUCUCAAUUAAUAUAACACACUUUUCUUUUCAAUUUGUCCCUAAAAAAAUAUCCCCUUUUUUAUAAUUAGAGACAACUUAAAUUUAAAGUUACUCUUUAUCUAAAUGAAAUAAUUUAUAGACACACAAAUAUGAAAAUUUGUUUUAGACCACAAAUUUCAAAAUCUUCAUUUUU